rnacentral:lncRNA from 1 species
UGCGAACAUUCUCUGAUAAUUUAUAAUUUGUAUAAAAUUAAAUUAGAUUAAUAAUUAGUAACAAAUGAUUUCUUAAAAAUGAUUUAUUUAUAGAAUUAACAUGAAAAUAAUAAUAUGAUUUAUAUAAGAGAUGAUAUAUUGACAAAUAAUCAUUUAAAAUUAUAUAUGAGAUUUUUAUAUAUUAAAAAAAAGAAAAUAAAAAACAUUAUGCUUUUUAAAAUAAGACGAAGUUAGUUAAGUAAUUUUAUUUGUAAAAUUUUAUAGUAGACAAUAGAGUAGUGGAGAGUGUAGUAUAUAAUGACGUGUCAUUUAUUAUUGGAAGAGUGCAAUGUUACAAGUUGUUAUAAUAAGGGACGUUUGAGUGAGGGUACUGUGAGUGUUGUGAGUGUUGCUGGGUGAAAGGGUACUACCUCCAUUAUGCAGGCUAUUUUCUUUUGUUACUUUGUUUUUUUAUAUCAAUGAAUUAAUUUAAGUUUGUUGUUGAUGGUAUGUGCAGAGAUCAGUGAGAACUUCUCCUCAUUUUGUUGAACCUACACACUGUUUGUUUCUCCGUUCUCAGGUAAUCCCCGUUCUUUUUCUUUUUUUUAAAUUUUUUUAUUUGAUUUUUUAUAUAUAUCAAAACUCAAACACAGAGAAAUGCACAAAUGAAACAAUUCAUUACUAAUCAUCAAAGUUCAUUGCUACUAAACAUAACGUAAGUAGCAAUAACUUCGUAUAUUAUAUAUACACGAAAAACAAUUUUCUACAUCUUAUUAUUUUUGGAUUGGAUGAAUCUAAAUUAUACUGCGACAUUCUCUGAUAAUUUAUAAUUUGUAUAAAAUUAAAUUAGAUUAAUAAUUAGUAACAAAUGAUUUCUUAAAAUGAUUUAUUUAUAGAAUUACAUGAAAAUAAUAAUAUGAUUUAUAUAAGAGAUGAUAUAUUGACAAAUAAUCAUUUAAAUAUAUAUGAGAUUUUUAUAUAUUAAAAAAAGAAAAUAAAAAACAUUAUGCUUUUUAAAAUAAGACGAAGUUAGUUAAGUAAUUUUAUUUGUAAUUUUUAUAGUAGACAAUAGAGUAGUGGAGAGUGUAGUAUAUAAUGACGUGUCAAUUUAUUAUUGGAAGAGUGCAAUGUUACAAGUUGUUAUAAUAAGGGACGUUUGAGUGAGAGGGUACUGUGAGUGUUGUGAGUGUUGCUGGGUGAAAGGGUACUACCUCCAUUAUGCAGGCUAUUUUCUUUUGUUACUUUGUUUUUUUAUAUCAAUGAAUUAAUUUAAGUUUGUUGUUGAUGGUAUGUGCAGAGAUCAGUGAGAACUUCUCCUCAUUUUGUUGAACCUACACACUGUUUGUUUCUCCCGUUCUCAGGUAUCCCCCGUUCUUUUUCUUUUUUUUAAAUUUUUUUAUUUGAUUUUUAUAUAUAUCAAACUCAAACACAGAAGAAUGCACAAAAUGAAACAAAUUCAUUACUAAUCACAAAGUUCAUUGCUACUAAACAUAACGUAAGUAGCAAAUAACUUCGUAUAUAUAUAUAUAACACGAAAAAAACAAUUUUCUACAUCUUAUUAUUUUUGGAUUGGAUGAAUCUAAAUUAUACUGCGAACAUUCUCUGAUAAUUAUAAUUUGUAUAAAAUUAAAUUAGAUUAAUAAUUAGUAACAAUGAUUUCUAAAAAUGAUUUAUUUAUAGAAUUAACAUGAAAAUAAUAAUAUGAUUUAUAUAAGAGAUGAUAUAUUGACAAAUAAUCAUUUAAAAUUAUAUAUGAGAUUUUUAUAUAUUAAAAAAAAGAAAUAAAAACAUUAUGCUUUUUAAAAUAAGACGAAGUUAGUUAAGUAAUUUUAUUUGUAAAAUUUUAUAGUAGACAAUAGAGUAGUGGAGAGUGUAGUAUAUAAGACGUGUCAAUUUAUUAUUGGAAGAGUGCAAUGUUACAGUUGUUAUAAUAAGGGACGUUUGAGUGAGAGGGUACUGUGAGUGUUGUGAGUGUUGCUGGGUGAAAGGGUACUACCUCCAUUAUGCAGGCUAUUUUCUUGUACUUUGUUUUUUUAUAUCAAUGAAUUAAUUAAGUUGUUUGUUGAUGGUAUGUGCAGAGAUCAGUGAGAACUUCUCCUCAUUUUGUUGAACCUACACACUGUUUGUUUCUCCCGUUCUCAGGUAAUCCCCGUUCUUUUUCUUUUUUAAAUUUUUUUAUUUGAUUUUUUAUAUAUAUCAAAAUCAACACAGAAGAAUGCACAAAAUGAAACAAAUUCAUUACUAAUCAUCAAGUUCAUUGCUACUAAACAUAACGUAAGUAGCAAAUAACUUCGUAUAUAUAUAUACACGAAAAAACAAUUUUCUACAUCUUAUUAUUUUUGGAUUGGAUGAAUCUAAAUUAUACUGCGAACAUUCUCUGAUAAUUUAUAAUUUGUAUAAAAUUAAUUAGAUUAAUAUUAGUAACAAAUGAUUUCUUAAAAAUGAUUUAUUUAUAGAAUUAACAUGAAAAUAAUAAUAUGAUUUAUAUAAGAGAUGUAUAUUGACAAAUAAUCAUUUAAAAUAUAUAUGAGAUUUUUAUAUAUUAAAAAAAAGAAAAUAAAACAUUAUGCUUUUUAAAAUAAGACGAAGUUAGUUAAGUAAUUUUAUUUGUAAAAUUUUAUAGUAGACAUAGAGUAGUGGAGAGUGUAGUAUAUAAUGACGUGUCAAUUUAUUAUUGGAAGAGUGCAAUGUUACAAGUUGUUAUAAUAAGGGACGUUUGAGUGAGAGGGUACUGUGAGUGUUGUGAGUGUUGCUGGGUGAAAGGGUACUACCUCCAUUAUGCAGGCUAUUUUCUUUUGUUACUUUGUUUUUUUAUAUCAAUGAAUUAUUUAAGUUUGUUGUUGAUGGUAUGUGCAGAGAUCAGUGAGAACUUCUCCUCAUUUUGUUGAACCUACACACUGUUUGUUUCUCCCGUUCUCAGGUAAUCCCGUUCUUUUUCUUUUUUUAAAUUUUUUUAUUUGAUUUUUUAUAUAUAUCAAACUCAAACACAGAAGAAUGCACAAAU